UUUCCAGACUCCUACGGGAGGCAGCAGUGGGGAAUAUUGGGCAAUGGACGCAAGUCUGACCCAGCAACGCCGCGUGAAGGAAGAAGGCUUUCGGGUUGUAAACUUCUUUUAAGGGGGAAGAGCAGAAGACGGUACCCCUUGAAUAAGCCACGGCUAACUACGUGCCAGCAGCCGCGGUAAUACGUAGGUGGCAAGCGUUGUCCGGAUUUACUGGGUGUAAAGGGAGCGCAGACGGCAGUGCAAGUCUGGAGUGAAAGCCCGUGGCUUAACCACGGGACUGCUCUGGAAACUGUGCAGCUAGAGUGCAGGAGAGGCAGGCGGAAUUCCUAGUGUAGCGGUGAAAUGCGUAGAUAUUAGGAGGAACACCGGUGGCGAAGGCGGCCUGCUGGACUGUAACUGACGUUGAGGCUCGAAAGCGUGGGGAGCAAACAGGAUUAGAUACCCUAGUA
rnacentral:rRNA from 1 species